AGAACGAACGCUGGCGGCAUGCCUAACACAUGCAAGUCGAACGAGACCUUCGGGUCUAGUGGCGCACGGGUGCGUAACGCGUGGGAAUCUGCCCUUAGGUACGGAAUAACUCAGGGAAACUUGUGCUAAUACCGUAUGAUGUCGAGAGACCAAAGAUUUAUCGCCUAGGGAUGAGCCCGCGUAGGAUUAGCUAGUUGGUGGGGUAAAGGCCUACCAAGGCUACGAUCCUUAGCUGGUCUGAGAGGAUGAUCAGCCACACUGGGACUGAGACACGGCCCAGACUCCUACGGGAGGCAGCAGUGGGAAUAUUGGACAAUGGGCGAAAGCCUGAUCCAGCAAUGCCGCGUGAGUGAAGAAGGCCUUGGGUUGUAAAGCUCUUUUACCCGGGAAGAUAAUGACUGUACCGGGAGAAUAAGCUCCGGCUAACUCCGUGCCAGCAGCCGC
rnacentral:rRNA from 1 species